CUAUCUGACAAGCUCCCAUCUUCCCAGUAGGCACAGUACUAACUUUAUCCCAGCACAGCUCUCGGGAUCAUAUGAGUCAUCUGAUAACCUCCUCAUUGUGCACUGACCUCAACCUUGGACCAAAAUAAACAGAAAUUCAAUUACAGGCCUCUCCUUGGUGCCCUCGCCCUGCCUGCAGUGUGUCUGGAGCUCUGAGGAGCGGGGCAGCCUCGGAGGCUUCGCUUUCCUUCCCAUCCGGCCGUGCUGAAACGGGAGCUGAGCCUUGGCACGGGUUUGUUUGUCCUCUGGAGAGCCUCGGGCGCUCACCCUGGGCUCAGCGGGUCCAGCGCUUGCUCUGCUCACUGCAGGUAUAUUCUCCAGGAAAGUCUUUUUCAUCUGGCUGCCAUACCCCAAUUAUGCAUAAUAUGAAAUAAAAAUAUGCUCCCUCGUGUGACAGCCAUCUCCCCAUAAAUGAAAAUAUAUGCUUUAUUUUGCAACAGCCGUCUUCAAUGCUAAUGAGCAAGAAAGGAAAGGGGAUUAAGUGGCAUUUAAAUCAUAUUCACCUCCUACCUGAGAACAGAGCCAGAGAAAGCAGUCACAGUCAGCUGGUCAAAACGUCCAAAGCCUGAACCAGGAAUUGCCAGCUACUUAGGAGGGACUGGGAGGAGGGAGAGGUAAAAAGGGGAAUGUUUUCCUCUAGAUCCGUGCUGCUAAGAGAUGGUGUAGGCUAAGCACAUGGCUUGCAGCCAGCAGAGGCAUCAGAUGCUGCGAUGAUAAAAGCCUGGUUAAUAACAUUUAGCACCGACAAAGGGUUUUCAAGGGAAAGAGACUUUUGUCCUGGGAAGGAUGGAAGCAGUGUCACCUGUUAGACCCAUUUUCGGGUUGUUUCAGGAGAAAUUACAGUGUCGUGAGUUUCUCUCCGCUUCCAAAUGCCGAGCGUGACAGGGAUGGGGCAAGCCACAGGUUUCUAAAGCCAAAAUAGCUGGUAGUGUGACUGCUUGUAAAAUGCAGAUACUGAUUUUGGGGAGAUUUUAGUGGUGAGUCUGUGGUGGUGGACCAAAAAGAAAAAAAAAUAGCAAGCUCACGUGUUUGAUAUGUGGGGAAAGAGGCAAACUUGAUCCGCCCCAAAUGAGGAGAGAAACUGCAUUUACCUGUGCCUUUCCCCUGUUGCACUGUUUACCGCGACAGGUUCUCUCCAUCUGCGGAUGGUCCGAUGCCACCGUCGUGCUUGCAU
rnacentral:lncRNA from 1 species